UGGGGGAUAUUGCACAAUGGGCGAAAGCCUGAUGCAGCGACGCCGCGUGGGGGAUGAAGGCUUUCGGGUUGUAAACCUCUUUCGCUAUCGAACAACGCCCGCUUAGGGUGGGUUGAGGGUAGGUGGAGAAGAAGCGCCGGCUAACUACGUGCCAGCAGCCGCGGUAAUACGUAGGGCGCGAGCGUUGUCCGGAAUUAUUGGGCGUAAAGGGCUUGUAGGCGGCUUGUUGCGCCUGCUGUGAAAACGCGGGGCUUAACUUCGCGCGUGCAGUGGGUACGGGCAGGCUUGAGUGUGGUAGGGGUGACUGGAAUUCCAGGUGUAGCGGUGGAAUGCGCAGAUAUCUGGAGGAACACCGAUGGCGAAGGCAGGUCACUGGGCCAUUACUGACGCUGAGGAGCGAAAGCAUGGGUAGCGAACAGG
rnacentral:rRNA from 1 species